rnacentral:rRNA from 1 species
AAAUUGAAGAGUUUGAUCAUGGCUCAGAUUGAACGCUGGCGGCAGGCCUAACACAUGCAAGUCGAACGGUAACAGGAAACAGCUUGCUGUUUCGCUGACGAGUGGCGGACGGGUGAGUAAUGUCUGGGAAACUGCCUGAUGGAGGGGGAUAACUACUGGAAACGGUAGCUAAUACCGCAUAAUGUCGCAAGACUAAAGAGGGGGACCUUCGGGCCUCUUGCCAUCGGAUGUGCCCAGAUGGGAUUAGCUAGUAGGUGGGGUAACGGCUCACCUAGGCGACGAUCCCUAGCUGGUCUGAGAG